rfam:Gossypium raimondii Chr11_contig_1118, whole genome shotgun sequence.
GGGUUGAUUCCCGAGCGGUUAAUAGGGGUAGACUGUAAAUUUGUUGGCAAUAUGUCUACGCUGGUUCAAAUCCAGCUCGGCCCA